CCUACGGGGGGCAGCAGUGGGGGAUAUUGCACAAUGGGGGGAACCCUGAUGCAGCGACGCCGCGUGGGUGAAGGAGCGUUUCGGCGCGUAAAGCCCUAUCGGCAGGGAAGAAGAUGACGGUACCUGACCAAGAAGCCCCGGCUAACUACGUGCCAGCAGCCGCGGUAAUACGUGGGGGGCAAGCGAUAUCCGGAUUUACUGGGUGGAAAGGGGGCGCAGACGGCAAUGCAAGCCAGGAGUGAAAGCCCCGGGCCCGAACCCGGGAGUGCUCUUGGAACUGCAUGGCUAGAGUACAGGAGGGGCAGGCGGAAUUCCUAGUGUAGCGGUGAAAUGCGUAGAUAUUAGGAGGAACACCGGUGGCGAAGGCGGCCUGCUGGACUGUGACUGACGUUGAGGCCCGAAGGCGUGGGGAGCAAACAGGAUUAGAUACCCUUGUAGUC
rnacentral:rRNA from 1 species